GGGUGCAGCGAUCUCCGCUGCAGGUGCCGUGGGGGCCGGGCCGCCUCCG
rnacentral:ncRNA from 1 species